CAGCAGUCGCCGCGGGAAUACGUAGGUGGCAAGCGUUGUUCGGAUUUACUGGGCGUAAAGGGCGCGUAGGCGGAUUUGUAAGUCAGGGGUGAAAUCCCGAGGCUCAACCUCGGAACUGCCUUUGAUACUGUGGAUCUUGAGUCCGGGAGAGGUGAGUGGAACUGCGAGUGUAGAGGUGAAAUUCGUAGAUAUUCGCAAGAACACCAGUGGCGAAGGCGGCUCACUGGCCCGGAACUGACGCUGAGGCGCGAAAGCGUGGGGAGCAAACAGGAUUAGAUACCCGAGUAGUCCCUGUCUCUUAUAC
rnacentral:rRNA from 1 species